UACGAGGGGGGCGAGCGUUGUUCGGAUUCAUUGGGCGUAAAGGGUGCGUAGGUGGCGCCAUAAGUCAGGUGUGAAAUCUCGGGGCUCAACCCCGAAACUGCACUUGAUACUGUGGUGCUGGAGUACUGGAGAGGAGAUUGGAAUUUACGGUGUAGCAGUGAAAUGCGUAGAUAUCGUAAGGAAGACCAGUGGCGAAGGCGAAUCUCUGGACAGUUACUGACACUGAGGCACGAAGGCCAGGGGAGCAAACGGG
rnacentral:rRNA from 1 species